rnacentral:rRNA from 1 species
GGGGAACGCCAGACGGAUAGAACUAUCUAUUUGAAAGGUUCCAGAAGUAGGCGCUACAACGCCGAAAUGACCUUCUCACCCUUGUGUACUCACUAUGUUGCUUUGGCGGGUCGACCUGGUUCCGACCCAGGCGGCCGGCGCCCCCAGCCUUAACUGGCCAGGACGCCCGGCUAAGUGCCCGCCAGUAUACAAAACUCAAGAAUUCAUUUUGUGAAGUCCUGAUAUAUCAUUUAAUUGAUUAAAACUUUCAACAACGGAUCUCUUGGUUCUGGCAUCGAUGAAGAACGCAGCGAAAUGCGAUAAGUAAUGUGAAUUGCAGAAUUCAGUGAAUCAUCGAAUCUUUGAACGCACAUUGCGCCCUCUGGUAUUCCGGAGGGCAUGCCUGUUCGAGCGUCAUUUCAACCCUCAAGCUCUGCUUGGUAUUGGGCAACGUCCGCUGCCGGACGUGCCUUGAAGACCUCGGCGACGGCGUCCUAGCCUCGAGCGUAGUAGUAAAAUAUCUCGCUUUGGAGUGCUGGGCGACGGCCGCCGGACAAUCGACCUUCGGUCUAUUUUUCCAAGGUUGACCUCGGAUCAGGUAGGGAUACCCGCUGAACUUAAGCAUAUCUAAACCCCGAAGGAAAAAAUCAUUUACUG